CAUGCACCGGUGGGGUCCCUCGGCCUGGUCUACGGGAAUCGGGCCGAAACUGGCAGUCUGACAUCCCCCAAGGGGUCCCAGAUUAUGGGAGGGUGCAGGCCAGGCUGAGGGACUCCACCAGUGCAUG
rnacentral:pre_miRNA from 1 species